CCUGACGAAGCAAUGCCGCGUGAAUGAAGAAGGCCUUCGGGUUGUAAAGUUCUUUCGUGGAGGACGAAAAGGUGGGUGCUAAUAUCGCCUGCUGUUGACGUGAAUCCAAGAAGAAGCACCGGCUAACUCCGUGCCAGCAGCCGCGGUAAUACGGGGGGUGCAAGCGUUAAUCGGAAUCACUGGGCGUAAAGGGUGCGUAGGCGGUGCAUUAGGUCUGUCGUGAAAUCCCCGGGCUCAACCUGGGAAUGGCGGUGGAAACCGGUGUACUAGAGUAUGGGAGAGGGUGGUGGAAUUCCAGGUGUAGCGGUGAAAUGCGUAGAGAUCUGGAGGAACAUCAGUGGCGAAGGCGGCCACCUGGCCCAAUACUGACGCUGAGGCACGAAAGCGUGGGGAGCAAACAGGAUUAGAUACCCUGGUAGUCCACGCCCUAAACGAUGAAUACUAGAUGUUUGGUGCCAAGCGUACUGAGUGUCGUAGCUAACGCGAUAAGUAUUCCGCCUGGGAAGUACGGCCGCAAGGUUAAAACUCAAAGGAAUUGACGGGGGCCC
rnacentral:rRNA from 1 species